AACUCGUCCGACCCACUGCUGUAUCCGCUGCCUGUGCCUACGUCGGCCAUCUUAGCGGGCAAUUUGCUUGAUUUAAGCACGGUACCGACCAAUCAUCCGGCAUUUGGGGGAUCAGAGAUGCCCAGGAUUUCUAUUUUUUUUAUGGGUUUCUGCACACAGUAUAAAUAUUUGCUUAAAAUAUAAAGUAAACUACGAAAAGUAAAGGAACAAACUGUAUUUAACAGAUUCUAGUUUUAAAGCAGGAUUUAUUUGACCCCCAUUAACCUACUUAAAAUUCUUAAUAUAUAUCAUACGAAAAUUAAACUAAGAAAAGUAAAAAAAAAACAUGAAUUUAUUUGAUAGUUACAUGUAUAAUUUAAUGCAAUUCUAAAUCAGUAUGUGUUAAUCUUUACCAAUCUACUUUUUAAAAAGUAAAGGAAAAAACAGUUUUUAACAAACUGUCUGCAAAUUAACCAAAAGCAGGGUUUGUUAAUUCAAUAUAGGGUACCGGUAUAUUGCAAGAGAUUACACAGUAUUCCUGGAUUCUUGGAAAUCAGAUCCAGUACUGUAUAACAUAAUGACUUCACAUUCAUUAUCUCACAAUCAUUGUUCUGCAAUUAAUUGCUCCAAUCGUCAAUCCAAGCGACCUGAUUUGUCUUUCUUCAGAUUUCCAAAGAAUAAAGAGAGGUGCCAACAAUGGGUUCAGAAUACUUGUAGAGAUGAUUUGCUCGACAAAAGCCCUCUUUAUCUUAAUCACAAUUGCCACAUCUGUGCUGACCACUUUGAAGAUGAUCAGUUUUCAAACAAACUAACAAAGAACAGAUUGAAAUGGAAUGCUGUGCCAACACUUUUCAAUAUACCAGGCUACACUCUAAAGACCUCGUUAACUUCUCACAAGGCCAUGAAGAGAAAAAAAAACAAUGAUUCCACGCAAUUUGCCUUAAAACACCAAACAGAGAUCCCAUCUCCACUUAUUGACCACUCGUAUUCCAAGCCAAACACAGAAGACAGUUGCAACAGCAAUGUCAGCAACUGCCACAGACAAAAGACUCCAGCAUCAUCUUCAGACAACGAAGCAUCACAGAAAGAAGGGGAACAUUUCAAAAAUGGACAACAUCAAGCAUUCCAAAUGAAUAAGGAAGUAAACCAACACCAGAUUGUUAGUGACCUUCGUGUGAAUAAUUCCACCACAAACUCCCACCUGGUUAAACCACGGAAAGACAACAACACUCCAAGACUUUGUAUUCCGCCUUUGCGAAAGCUGUCAGAGACCCCAUUUGAUCUGAAUAAACAAGGAGAUUCUGGUUUUCAAUCACCAGUUCAGAUUAAACAGGAACCUUGUGAAGAAGAGGCACCAUUACACCAACCAUUUACACCAAAUCUGUUACUGGCUGAUAACCAUUUUGUUACCAUAAAACCAAGCACCAACCAAAUAUCAUCUUCAGGUCCUUUAUCUUCUGAACUCACACCUUAUUCUGAAAGUGAACCAGCACAGAAAGAUUUUCUCAAUCAUUCCACCAGUUUCUCAUGUCUUGAAGAAAAAAACAUCAAAGUCCAGAAUGUCUUCUCAGUACCAAUAGAUUUCUCCAGAAAGACAGAAGACAAGAAACAUGUAUCAAUCAGCCGCAACUGCCUGAAGACAUUGGUGUCUUUAGUAUCGUGUCCAACCUGCCAAGCAGAAGUAAACCCUCAAGAAACAAUUCAAGGCUUCAAAACGGGGACAUUGAUUUCUUUGAAUCUCUUCUGUUACAAUGGUCACAGUAUACAACCUCAGCAGUAAGGUUUCAGCAACAGCCAGAAUCACUGACAACUCUUAUAACAUUUAUUUUUGCAAUCAUAAGCAAAAUAUUUGGCAGAAAGAAAGCCAUUAUUAGCGGUUCGGCAAAAGAGAC
rnacentral:misc_RNA from 1 species